rnacentral:rRNA from 1 species
CUACGGGUCGCUCCAGUGGGGAAUAUUGCACAAUGGGGGAAACCCUGAUGCAGCAACGCCGCGUGAAGGAAGAAGGCUCUUGGGUUGUAAACUUCUUUGAAUGGGGACGAAACAAAUGACGGUACCCAUAAAACAAGCCACGGCUAACUACGUGCCAGCAGCCGCGGUAAUACGUAGGUGGCAAGCGUUAUCCGGAAUUACUGGGUGUAAAGGGCGUGUAGGCGGGAGAGCAAGUCAGAUGUGAAAUGCCAAGGCUUAACCAUGGAACUGCAUCUGAAACUGUUUUUCUUGAGUACUGGAGAGGAAAGUGGAAUUCCUAGUGUAGCGGUGAAAUGCGUAGAGAUUAGGAGGAACACCAGUGGCGAAGGCGGCUUUCUGGAUAGUAACUGACGCUGAGGCGCGAAAGCGUGGGGAGCAAACAGGAUUAGAUACCCCCGUAGUC